UAGAGAUGGCGACCGGCGCACGGGUGAGUAACACGUAUCCAACCUGCCGAUAACUCGGGGAUAGCCUUUCGAAAGAAAGAUUAAUACCCGAUGGUAUAAUAAAGCCGCAUGGUUUAAUUAUUAAAGAAUUUCGGUUAUCGAUGGGGAUGCGUUCCAUUAGGCAGUUGGUGAGGUAACGGCUCACCAAACCUUCGAUGGAUAGGGGUUCUGAGAGGAAGGUCCCCCACAUUGGAACUGAGACACGGUCCAA
rnacentral:rRNA from 1 species